rnacentral:rRNA from 1 species
UACAGAGGUGGCAAGCGUUGUUCGGAAUUACUGGGCGUAAAGGGCGCGUAGGCGGCCUUCUAAGUCAGACGUGAAAUCCCCAGGCUUAACUUGGGAACUGCGUCUGAUACUGGGAGUCUCGAGUGCGGGAGAGGUGAGUGGAAUUCCCAGUGUAGAGGUGAAAUUCGUAGAUAUUCGCAAGAACACCAGUGGCGAAGGCGGCUCACUGGCCCGAUACUGACGCUGAGGCACGAAAGCGUGGGGAGCAAACAGGG